AGAGCUUGAUCCUGGCUCAGGAUGAACGCUAGCGGCAGGCUUAAUACAUGCAAGUCGAGGGGUAGCAGGUAGCAAUACGCUGACGACCGGCAAACGGGUGCGGAACACGUACACAACUUACCUUUUAGUGGGGGACAGCCCAGGGAAACUUGGAUUAAUACCCCGUAAGAUAAUUGAAUGGCAUCAUUUGAUUAUUAUAGAUUUAUUGCUAGAAGAUGGGUGUGCGGCUGAUUAGGUAGUUGGUAGGGUAACGGCCUACCAAGCCAACGAUCAGUAGCUGAUGUGAGAGCAUGAUCAGCCACACGGGCACUGAGACACGGGCCCGACUCCUACGGGAGGCAAGCAGUAAGGAAUAUUGGUCAAUGGACGCAAGUCUGAACCAGCCAUGCCGCGUGAAGGAUUAAGGUCCUCUGGAUUGUAAACUUCUUUUAUUUGGGACCAAAAAGGGUCUUUCUAGACCAACUGACGGUACCAGAUGAAUAAGCACCGGCUAACUCCGUGCCAGCAGCCGCGGUAAUACCGAGGGUGCAAAGCGUUAUCCGGAUUCACUGGGUUUAAAGGGUGCGUAGGCGGGUAGGUAAGUCAGUGGUGAAAUCCUGGACUCAACUCCAGACUGCCAUUGAUACUAUUUA
rnacentral:rRNA from 1 species